rnacentral:RNase_P_RNA from 1 species
UGGGUAAACCAGACGAUCGCGUGCCGCAAGGUAUGAGGAAAGUCCGGGCUCCAUAGGGCAAGGAUGCCAGAUAACGUCUGGCGUAGGUAACUAUAGGGAAAGUGCAACAGAAACAUUCCGCCGAAACGGGUAAUGCCGUGGUAAGGUUGAAAUGGUGAGGUAAGAGCUCACCGGCAUUAUGGAGACAUAAUGGCCGUGUAAACCCCAUCCGGAGCAAGACAAAUUAGGGCUUUUAGUGAGGCUGCCCGUCUCCGCCCUAGUGGUAGGUCGCUUGACGCUGUAAGCAAUUGCAGUGCUAGAUGGAUGAUCGUCUAAUACAGAACCCGGCUUACGGUUUGCCCAUACU